rnacentral:lncRNA from 1 species
AUGACAGGGCAGUAAAUGGAAGAAAAUAAACGGAUUCAGGGCGGGAAACGGGAUAAAUUUUACGAUCCGAGAUGGAUUCGGGGCAGGAAACGGGAGAAAUUUUGACCCGCCUCGAUUUCGCCCCAAAUCUGUCCCGCCAAGGUCCGCCCAAAAAAUUAUUUAUAUUUUUAAAAAAUAUCUCUAAAAAAUAAUGUAUUUACGAAAAAGUUCAAAAUAUAAAUAAGUUAGUGCUCUCAUUUCUCAUGUAUUUAAAAUUUUUGAAUUUUGCAUCGAAUUGUGAUUGAUACUUUUAAUUUUAUAAUUGUUGCUGUUAAAUAUAUAUAUAUAUAUAUAUAAAAUAUUAUUAAAAAUUAUUAAUUUAUAUUUUACAAAAUAUUAAUAUAUUAUAAUUUUAUAAAAAAUAUUAGUUAGCGGGGGCGGAUUCAGGGCGCCGGCUAGAGGCAGGUAACAAGACGGAAAGGAUUAUGGGAUAUAUUUUUUAAUCGGUCACGAAUUCGAAACAGAAGGCAGGACGGAAUUUUGG